rfam:Camelus ferus unplaced genomic scaffold scaffold1379, whole genome shotgun sequence.
GAGGGUAUAGCUCAAGUGGUAGAGUGCAUGUUUAGUAUGCACAAGGUCCUGGGUUCAAUUCCCAGUGCCUCUU